AUACCCUUGAUAAGGAUGAUUCCUUAUUUUCAAGUCCAGAUGUCACUGAUAUUGCACCAAGUAGGAAGAGGAGACACCGAAUGCAGACAAAUCUUGGGACAGAACCUAAAAUGGCUCCACAGGAGCUGCCACUACAGGAGAAGGAAAGAUUAUAGAAGGAGUACAAGGUCAUUUCUAACAAUCACGAAAUGUAGACAGCAAGGAUGAGCUGCGAAGCCCGCAGCCUCUUGCACAUGGAGAUGAGCAGCACUCCCACUGUGGCAGCUCAGGGUCUCUCAGCUCUCCUCUGCUAUGUUUGCCUUACACUACUAGGCUGGCAGUGUGGAUCGUAUAACCUGUUAUUAGGUACAAAUACAUGUAAGAAUUUCUCUUUGGUAGCUUUUUUCAACAUAAUUUGAAAGUCCAGUUUUUAAAUAUUUUCAUUUUUCUUUAACCAAGCAUCCAUUAUAUUUUUCUAUUAUUGGAAAAAAUCAAUGUAUUUAUUUUAAUAUAAUAUGUAGUACAGUUGUAUCAAUUGGUAAAUUCCUCUGGUAGAGUCUCCAAAAUCAGGAUAAUAAAGCUGUUAGUCUCAUAUCAUAUUUUAUCAGAAUUACUUCAGAACCUCUGAACCAUUUAUUCUUUAUGAAUAGUGAUUGUUUUUGUGUCUUUUCAUAAUCUGCUUCAUUUUAAUACAGUUAUUAUCCAUUCUUU
rnacentral:lncRNA from 1 species